rnacentral:rRNA from 1 species
GUUGAACGCUGGCGGCGGGCCUAACACAUGCAAGUCGAACGGUCACAGGAAGCAGCUUGCUGCUUUGCUGACGAGUGGCGGGCGUGUGAGUAAUGUCUUUGACACUGCCCGAUGGCGGGGGAUAACUACUGGAACCGGUACCUAAUCCCGCAUAUCUUCGCAAGCCCAAUGAUCCGUACCUUAGGGCCUCUUUCCAUCUACUUUUCCCUGCUGCGUUUAGCCAUUAGCUGUGGUAACGGCUCACCUAGGCGACGAUCCCUAGCUGGUCUGAGAGGAUGACCAGCAAAACUGGAAAUGAGACAAGGGCCAGACUCCUACGGGAGGCAGCAGUGGGGAAUAUUGAACAAUGGGAGAAAGCAUGAAGAAGACAUGCAGCGUGAAUGAAGAAGGCCUUCGGGUUGUAAAGUACUUUCAGAGGGGAGGAAGGGAGGAAAGUUAAUACCUAUACCCAUUGACGUUACCAGCAGAAGAAGCACCGGCUAACUACGUG